CAGCAGCCACGGUAAUACGAAGGGGGCUAGCGUUGUUCGGAUUUACUGGGCGUAAAGCGCACGUAGGCGGACUUUUAAGUCAGGGGUGAAAUCCCGGGGCUCAACCCCGGAACUGCCUUUGAUACUGGAAGUCUUGAGUAUGGUAGAGGUGAGUGGAAUUCCGAGUGUAGAGGUGAAAUUCGUAGAUAUUCGGAGGAACACCAGUGGCGAAGGCGGCUCACUGGACCAUUACUGACGCUGAGGUGCGAAAGCGUGGGGAGCAAACAGGAUUAGAGACCCGCGUAGUCCCUGUCUCUUAUAC
rnacentral:rRNA from 1 species